rnacentral:lncRNA from 1 species
AUUUGUUAUAAUACGUUGUUUGGUUGGAACAUGGAAGGAAAUUUGGCUCCAUGAAGCCAUUAGAUGGAAAAAAGUGGCUCCUGUACAGACACCACGAAAGGAUCCUAGAGAUACCUGGGAUCUUCACAGCAGUAUUUGUGGGAACAAACUAAGAAAGGGAAAAAUAUAGAACAAGUUUGGUCCCACCAUCCCUAUCGAAAAAUACUGCUAAAUGACCUCAGAUCCUCUUCACUGUUCCUCGUGGUCAAUGAUAUCAUCUGAGAUUUUGAGUGUGGUAAAAUACAUCAUUUCCACUGAUUUCUCAAAAACAUGUCAAAUAUGUAAAGGUUGAAAACAAAACAACAAAACUGUCAGCCAUUGGACAAUCAUGACGCAGAUUUCAACAGCAAGAAGACAGUUAUGUUAGAAGUCACUCUUUAGAAACUUUGAUUUCUAAAGUUGUCCCUUUAGUCCCUUUCUAAAA